AGAGUUUGAUCCUGGCUCAGGACGAACGCUGGCGGCGUGCCUUAGGCAUGCAAGUGGAACGAACCUCUUCGGAGGUAAGUCGCGAACGGCUGAGUAACACGUAGGAAUCUACCCCUUGGUGGAGAAUACCCCUAUGAAAGUAGGGUUAAUACUGCAUAAGAUCUCUGGAUGAAAGGGCGUAACUGCCCGCCGAGGGAGGAGCCUGCGGCCCAUCAGCUUGUUGGUAGGGUAAUAGCCUACCAAGGCUACGACGGGUAGGGGACGUGAGAGCGUGAUCCCCCAGAAAGGCACUGAGAUACGGGCCUUACACCUACGGGUGGCAGCAACCGGGAAUAGUGCGCAAUGGACGAAAGUCUGACGCCGCGACGCCGCGUGAGGGAUGAAUGCCCUAGGGUUGUAAACCUCUUUUGCCAGAAGGGAGACCGACUGGAGAAUAAGCACCCGCUAACUACGUGCCAGCAGCUGCGGUAAGACGUAGGGUGCAAGCGUUGUCCGGAUUUAUUGGGCGUAAA
rnacentral:rRNA from 1 species